rnacentral:tRNA from 1 species
UAGAUGGAGGCCUGCUAGCUUGGGCGCUUAGCUGUUAACUAAGAGAUUGUAGGAUCAAGACCUGCCCAUCUAG